rnacentral:sRNA from 1 species
UGCCUGUGGGUGACGGCCUGAAGACCAA